AGCCAGUUCCACGAUAUCGAAAGAACACGUUCGCACAACUUUUACACGACAAACAGCUGAUUUCCGUUCCACUAAAAUCUAUCAGAACGAAAAUUUGCACGAAAAUCAAAGCGAACGAAAACGUAAGCAUUUCAGUGUAAUUUUGCGUUCCACUAUCUUUUUUCUUUCGUACGCAUGCGAACACAAAUGUCAAAAUCAGUCACUUGUGUGUUUGCUAUCGUAUAAUAACAAUUAAGGAAAAUUGUUUUAACAUAAACAUUGCUUGAUUGAAAAUGGAAACAAAAAUCUCGAAAAAAUCAUCAACUACACAGCUGCGGGCACUAGUUGAGUAAAUGGAGGAGAAUCCUGUGUUCGCCAGAUGAAUGCCAAUUUUUGGAAGCAGCAGAAGAAGUUUUAAAUCGGGGCGGAUUUGGGUAGUUCUGCAACCGGGCACCCACCUCUCUUCCAUCAUAUCCAAAAGAGUCCGAAAACUUCCUUCGACACACGAAAGUUGGCCACAAACCUAGAAAAAAUCAUUUUUUAUUAUUUCAAAAAUGUAAAAAUACAAUCAUACUUACUGGUUGUUAGGUACUUCAAAUAAAUUCGAAGCAUCUCUUAAAUUCCUCCGUGGCACAUUUCGAACCUCCUCCAUAAAAAAUAGGGCUACGGAAAUAUUCUUUUUUUUAUUUUCUAAGAGCACAAAUAGUUUGAACACAAUCAAUAGAAAUUUUAUUUUGUUUGUUUAUUUACAAUUUGUUUGUUUACAACUGAAAUGCCAGUUGAGACAGAGCCACUGCUGCUUUUUCGCGUUUAAAUUAGACAUUUGACGCUUUUUUUGCUUUAUUUCGCGAUUAAUUUUUCCAAAAAGAUAUUUUGCAACACUGAAUCACGUAAGGCUAUGCGAAAGAAAGAACGAAAGUUAUUGGAACGCAUUCUUAUACGAAAGUGAGUGAGUAGCCUUCGUUCGCACAAAUUUUCUUUCGAGAUCGUGGAACAGGCUGUAACAGCCAGUUCCACGAUAUCGAAAGAACACGUUCGCACAACUUUUACACGACAAACAGCUGAUUUCCGUUCCACUAAAAUCCAUCAGAACGAAAAUUUGCACGAAAAUCAAAGCGAACGAAAACGUAAGCGUUUCAGUGUAAUUUUGCGUUCCACUAUAUUUUUUCUUUCGUACGCAUGCGAACACAAAUGUCAAAAUCAGUCACUUGUGAGUUCGCUGUCGUAUGAUAACAAUUAAGGAAAAUUGUUUUAACAUAAACAUUGCUUGAUUGAAAAUGGAAACAAAAAUCACGAAAAAAUCAUCAACUACACAGCUGCGGGCACUAGUUGAGUAUAUGUAGGAGAAUCUGAGUUCGCCAGAGGAGUGCCAAUUUUUGGAAGCAGCAGAAGAAGUUUUAAAUCGGGGCGGAUUUGGGUAGUUCUGC